GGUUGUUUAGUUUAAUUAGAAUACAGGUUUUGUAAUUCUGCGGUAAUUUUUUAUUAGCAACCU
rnacentral:tRNA from 1 species